UGGAGGGGCAAGUMWGGUGCCAGCAGCCGCGGUAAUUCCAGCUCCAAUAGCGUAUAUUAAAGUUGUUGAGGKUAAAAAGSUCGUAGUUGAACCUURGGCMUAGCCGGCCGGUCCGCCUCACCGCGUGCACUGGCUCGRCWGGGUCUUUCCUUCUGGAGAACCGCAUGCCCUUCACUGGGUGUGCCGGGGAWCCAGGACUUUUACUCUGAACAAAUUAGAUCGCUUAAAGAAGGCMUAUGCUCGAAUACAUUAGCAUGGAAUAAUAGAAUAGGACGUGUGGUUCUAUWUKGUUGGUUUCUAGGACCGCCGUAAUGAUUAAUAGGGACAGUCGGGGGCAUCAGUAUUCAAUUGUCAGAGGWGAAAUUYUUGGAUUUAUUGAAGACUAACUACUGMGAAAGCAUUUGCCAAGGAUGUUUUCAUUAAUCAGGAWCGAAAGUUAGGGGAUCGAAGACGAUCAGAUACCGUCGUAGUCUUAACCAUAAACUAUGCCGAUUAGGGAUCGGACGGCGUUAUUUUUUGRCCCGUKSGGCGCCUUWCGGGAAACAA
rnacentral:rRNA from 1 species